UUUAGAUAAAAUAAGGAGUAACGUAACAUUUGUGUUCUCUUUUACUGAAAAUCUAAUACAGAUUGACGGAAUUUCUCUAGCAUAAUGAGUUCAUGUUAAACGAAUAAGAGAAUGUUUUGCAAGAAAGAACCAAAAU